UUAGACCCCCAUAAGUUCAAACGGCCGCGGUAUCCUAACCGUGCGAAGGUAGCGCAAUCGAUUGUCCCGUAAAUUGUUGACUUGUAUGAAUGGCUAAACGAGGUCUUAACUGUCUCCUGUAUAUAAUCUUUA
rnacentral:rRNA from 1 species